rnacentral:rRNA from 1 species
GACGAACGCUGGCGGCGUGCCUAACACGUGCAAGUCGAGCGGGAACCUCAGGAGGGGUAACCCUCCUGAGGGGAGAGCGGCGAACGGGUGAGUAACACGUGGGCAACCUGCCCCGGACACCGGGAUAACCCAGGGAAACCUGAGCUAAUACCGGAUACUCCGGCGAGAUCGCAUGGUCGCGCCGGGAAAGCCCCGACGGUCCGGGAUGGGCCCGCGGCCUAUCAGCUUGUUGGUGGGGUAACGGCCCACCAAGGCGACGACGGGUAGCUGGUCUGAGAGGACGGCCAGCCACACUGGGACUGAGACACGGCCCAGACUCCUACGGGAGGCAGCAGUGGGGGAUCUUGCGCUAAUGCGCGAAAGCGUGACGCAGCGACGCCGCGUGGGGGAUGAAGGCCCUCGGGUUGUAAACCCCUUUCGGCAGGGACGAAGCGAAAGUGACGGUACCUGCAGAAGAAGUCCCGGCUAACUACGUGCCAGCCGCCGCCGUAAAAC